rnacentral:rRNA from 1 species
CACGUAGGGCGCAAGCGUUGUCCGUAAUUAUUGGGCGUAAAGAGCUCGUAGGCGGUUUGUCGCGUCUGCUGUGAAAACUCGGGGCUUAACUCCGGGCCUGCAGUGGGUACGGGCAGACUAGAGUGCGGUAGGGGAGACUGGAAUUCCUGGUGUAGCGGUGAAAUGCGUAGAUAUCUGGAGGAACACCGGUGGCGAAGGCGGCAUCCUGGACCGGCAUUGACGCUGAGGCGCGAAAGCCAGGGGAGCAAACGGG